CCUACGGGCUGCAGUGGGGAAUAUUGGACAAUGGGGGCAACCCUGAUCCAGCCAUGCCGCGUGUGUGAAGAAGGCCCUCGGGUUGUAAAGCACUUUCAGUGAGGAAGAACGCCUGGUGGUUAAUACCCAUCAGGAAAGACAUCACUCACAGAAGAAGCACCGGCUAACUCCGUGCCAGCAGCCGCGGUAAUACGGAGGGUGCGAGCGUUAAUCGGAAUUACUGGGCGUAAAGCGCGCGUAGGUGGCUUGAUAAGCCGGUUGUGAAAGCCCCGGGCUCAACCUGGGAACGGCAUCCGGAACUGUCAAGCUAGAGUGCAGGAGAGGAAGGUAGAAUUCCCGGUGUAGCGGUGAAAUGCGUAGAGAUCGGGAGGAAUACCAGUGGCGAAGGCGGCCUUCUGGACUGACACUGACGCUGAGGUGCGAAAGCGUGGGUAGCAAACAGGAUUAGAUACCCGUGUAGUC
rnacentral:rRNA from 1 species